rnacentral:rRNA from 1 species
GCCGUCAUGGUGCCCUUGCAGGCCUAACACAUGCAAGUCGAACGAUGAACCUUAGCUUGCUAAGGGGAUUAGUGGCGAACGGGUGAGUAAUAUAUCGGAACGUACCUUGUAAUGGGGGAUAACUAGUCGAAAGAUUAGCUAAUACCGCAUACGCCCUGAGGGGGAAAGUAGGGGAUCUUCGGACCUUACGUUAUAAGAGCGGCCGAUAUCUGAUUAGCUAGUUGGUGGGGUAAUGGCCUACCAAGGCGACGAUCAGUAGCUGGUCUGAGAGGACGACCAGCCACACUGGAACUGAGACACGGUCCAGACUCCUACGGGAGGCAGCAGUGGGGAAUUUUGGACAAUGGGCGCAAGCCUGAUCCAGCCAUUCCGCGUGAGUGAAGAAGGCCUUCGGGUUGUAAAGCUCUUUCGCAAGGGAAGAAAACUUACAUUCUAAUAAAGUGUGAGGCUGACGGUACCUUGAUAAGAAGCACCGGCUAACUACGUGCCAGCAGCCGCGGUAAUACGUAGGGUGCGAGCGUUAAUCGGAAUUACUGGGCGUAAAGCGUGCGCAGGCGGUUUUGUAAGUCAGAUGUGAAAUCCCCGAGCUCAACUUGGGAACUGCGUUUGAAACUACAAGACUAGAAUAUGUCAGAGGGGGGUAGAAUUCCACGUGUAGCAGUGAAAUGCGUAGAGAUGUGGAGGAAUACCAAUGGCGAACGCAGCCCCCUGGAUAAUAUUGACGCUCAUGCACGAAAGCGUGGGGAGCAAACAGGAUUAGAUACCCUGUAGUCCACGCCCUAACGAUGUCUACUAGUUGUGUGAGUAAAUCCAUGAGUAACGCAGCUAACGCGUGAGUAGACGCUGGGAGUACGUCGCAGAUAAACUCAAAGAUGACGGGGCCGCACAGCGUGAUAUGUGAUAUCGAUGCACGCGAACUACUGCUGACAUGCACUACGAGCAGAUGCAUAAGUGCCGAAGGAUGACCAGUGCUGCAUGCCUGUCGUCAGCUCAGUUCUGAAUGUAGUAAGUCCGCACGAGCCACCUGCAUAUGCAUCAUAGUGGACUAAUGGACUGCGGUACAACGAGAGUGGAGACGUCA